AUUGAACGCUGGCGGCAUGCUUUACACAUGCAAGUCGAACGGCAGCGCGGGCUUCGGCCUGGCGGCGAGUGGCGAACGGGUGAGUAAUGCAUCGGAACGUGCCCAGUAGUGGGGGAUAGCCCGGCGAAAGCCGGAUUAAUACCGCAUACGACCUGAGGGUGAAAGCGGGGGACCGAAAGGCCUCGCGCUAUUGGAGCGGCCGAUGUCGGAUUAGCUAGUUGGUGGGGUAAAGGCUUACCAAGGCGACGAUCCGUAGCUGGUCUGAGAGGACGACCAGCCACACUGGGACUGAGACACGGCCCAGACUCCUACGGGAGGCAGCAGUGGGGAAUUUUGGACAAGGGGGGCAACCCUGAUCCAGCCAUGCCGCGUGCGGGAAGAAGGCCUUCGGGUUGUAAACCGCUUUUGUUCGGGAAGAAAUCCUCUGGGCUAAUACCCCGGGGGGAUGACGGUACCGGAAGAAUAAGCACCGGCUAACUACGG
rnacentral:rRNA from 1 species